GACUUGGUAAAUCCGGUUGCUUAUCAACGCUGAGGUGUGAUGACGAGUCACUACGGUGAUGAAGUAGUUGAUGCCAAGCUUCCAGGAAAAGCCUCUAAGCAUCAGGUAACAUUAAAUCGUACCCCAAACCGACACAGGUGGUCAGGUAGAGAAUACUCAGGCGCUUGAGAGAACUCGGGUGAAGGAACUAGGCAAAAUGGUGCCGUAACUUCGGGAGAAGGCACGCUGGCAUUAGGUAAUGGGACUUGCUCCCGGCGCCGAAGCCAGUCGCAGAUACCAGCUGGCUGCAACUGUUUAAUAAAAACACAGCACUGUGCAAACACGAAAGUGGACGUAUACGGUGUGACGCCUGCCCGGUGCUGGAAGGUUAAUUGAUGGGGUCAGCCGCAAGGCGAAGCUCUUGAUCGAAGCCCCAGUAAACGGCGGCCGUAACUAUAACGGUCCUAAGGUAGCGAAAUUCCUUGUCGGGUAAGUUCCGACCUGCACGAAUGGCGUAAUGAUGGCCAGGCUGUCUCCACCCGAGACUCAGUGAAAUUGAACUCGCUGUGAAGAUGCAGUGUACCCGCGGCAAGACGGAAAGACCCCGUGAACCUUUACUAUAGCUUGACACUGAACAUUGAGCCUUGAUGUGUAGGAUAGGUGGGAGGCAUUGAAGUGUGGACGCCAGUCUGCAUGGAGCCAACCUUGAAAUACCACCCUUUAAUGUUUGAUGUUCUAACUCGGCCCCGUAAUCCGGGGUGAGGACAGUGUCUGGUGGGUAGUUUGACUGGGGCGGUCUCCUCCCAAAGAGUAACGGAGGAGCACGAAGGUUAGCUAAUCACGGUCGGACAUCGUGAGGUUAGUGCAAAGGCAUAAGCUAGCUUGACUGCGAGAGUGACGGCUCGAGCAGGUACGAAAGUAGGUCUUAGUGAUCCGGUGGUUCUGAAUGGAAGGGCCAUCGCUCAACGGAUAAAAGGUACUCCGGGGAUAACAGGCUGAUACCGCCCAAGAGUUCAUAUCGACGGCGGUGUUUGGCACCUCGAUGUCGGCUCAUCACAUCCUGGGGCUGAAGUAGGUCCCAAGGGUAUGGCUGUUCGCCAUUUAAAGUGGUACGCGAGCUGGGUUUAGAACGUCGUGAGACAGUUCGGUCCCUAUCUGCCGUGGGCGUUGGAAGAUUGAGAGGGGCUGCUCCUAGUACGAGAGGACCGGAGUGGACGAAUCACUGGUGUUCGGGUUGUCAUGCCAAUGGCAUUGCCCGGUAGCUAAAUUCGGAAGAGAUAACCGCUGAAAGCAUCUAAGCGGGAAACUUGCCUCGAGAUGAGUCUUCCCUGGGGCUUUAAGCCCCCUGAAGGAACGUUAAAGACUAUGACGUUGAUAGGCUGGGUGUGUAAGUGCAGCGAUGCAUUGAGCUAACCAGUACUAAUGAUCCGUGAGGCUUAACCUU
rnacentral:rRNA from 1 species